ACUCCUACGGGAGGCAGCAGUGGGAAUAUUGCACAAUGGGGAAGCCAUCGAUGCAGCCAUGCCGCGCUGUGUGAAGAAGGCCAAUUCGGGCUUUGGUUAAAGACACUUUUCAGUAGGGAGGAAGGUAGUGUAGUUAACACCUGCAUUAUUUGACGUUACCUACAGAAGAAGCACCGGCUAACUCCGUGCCAGCAGCCGCGGUAAUACGGAGGGUGCGAGCGUUAAUCGGAAUUACUGGGCGUAAAGCGCAUGCAGGCGGCCUGUUAAGUCAGAUGUGAAAGCCCGGGCUUAAGCCU
rnacentral:rRNA from 1 species